UCAUCAAUACCUGAUAUAACCACAUGUGAAAGGGAUUAAUUUAGGAGACCUUUGUCAUUCACAACAAUACAGAAUUACAUUCACAAAUGUCACUUAAAAACUUUACUGUGCAUAAAAGAAGGCUUAUGUUAACCUUGUCCAGAAUUUGCAUUGACUUCUCUGGGCUCUGAUACGUCUGGGUUGGACGAC